rnacentral:rRNA from 1 species
UACGAAGGGGGUUAGCGUUGUUCGGAAUUACUGGGCGUAAAGGGUGCGCAGGCGGCCUGGCGCGUCGCGAGUGAAAUCUCCUGGCUCAACUGGGAGGGUGGUCGCGAGACGGCUGGGCUUGAGGCUCGGUGAGGGGCGUGGAAUUCCGGGUGGAGCGGUGAAAUGCGUAGAGAUCCGGAGGAACACCGACGGCGUAGGCAGCGCCCUAGACGAGACCUGACGCUCAGGCACGAAAGCGCGGGGAGCGAACAGG